rnacentral:rRNA from 1 species
UGGGUGAUCUGCCCUGCACUUUGGGAUAAGCCUGGGAAACUGGGUCUAAUACCGAAUACACCUUGCUGGCCGCAUGGUCUGGUUGGGGAAAGCUUUUGCGGUGUGGGAUGGGCCCGCGGCCUAUCAGCUUGUUGGUGGGGUGAUGGCCUACCAAGGCGACGACGGGUAGCCGGCCUGAGAGGGUGUCCGGCCACACUGGGACUGAGAUACGGCCCAGACCUCCGUACGGGAGGCA